rnacentral:rRNA from 1 species
CCUACGGGUGGCAGCAGUGGGGAAUCUUGGGCAAUGGGCGCAAGCCUGACCCAGCAACGCCGCGUGAAGGAAGAAGGCCCUCGGGUUGUAACCUUCUUUUAUUCGGGACGAAACACAUGACGGUACCGAGUGAAUCAGCCACGGCUAACUACGUGCCAGCAGCCGCUGUAAUACGUAGGUGGCAAGCGUUAUCCGGAUUUACUGGGUGUAAAGGGCGUGUAGGCGGGCGUUCAAGUCAGACGUGAAAUUCCAGGGCUCAACCCGGGAACGGCGUUGGAAACUGUUCUUCUUGAGUGAAGAAGAGGCAGGCGGAAGUCCGUGUGUAGCGGUGAAAUGCGUAGAUAGACGGAGGAACACCAGUGGCGAAGGCGGCCGGCUGGACAGUAACUGACGCUGAGGCGCGAAAGCGUGGGGAGCAAACAGGAUUAGAUACCCGGGUAGUC